CAAGAUGAGAAACACACUUUUACCUCUACAGCUGCCAUUGGAGGAAAUAUAAAGAUUUUACUGAAGUCCCUCUCCCAUCAGAAGCCAGGAGAAUUCGUUCCAUUUCAGGAGAAUUCCAACUACAUAAGAGGGGAGAAGUCAGGGACUGUAGGUUGACACCUCCCUUCUCUAGAGAGAGAACUGUGCUGGCCCAGUGUUGACUUCUCAGUUUACCAGAUGAAGCCCCUUAG
rnacentral:lncRNA from 1 species